GCCGGAUUAGCUCAGGGGUAGAGCAGCGCUUUCGUAAAGCGAAGGUCGGGGGUUCGAACCCCUCAUUCGGCACCA
rnacentral:tRNA from 1 species